ensembl:snRNA U4 U4 spliceosomal RNA
AUCUUUGCGCAGUGGCAGUAUCGUAGCCAAUGAGGUUUAUCCGAGGCGCGAUUAUUGCUAAUUGAAAAAUGGGCACAUGAUCUGAACAGACAUUUUUAUCCAAUUAAUAUAUGAAAAGAUGCUCAAUAGUC